rnacentral:rRNA from 1 species
CCUACGGGAGGCUGCAGUGAGGAAUAUUGGUCAAUGGACGAGAGUCUGAACCAGCCAAGUAGCGUGAAGGAUGACUGCCCUAUGGGUUGUAAACUUCUUUUAUAUGGGAAUAGAAUGUUCCACGUGUGGGAUUUUGUAUGUACCAUGUGAAUCAGGAUCGGCUAACUCCGUGCCAGCCGCCGCGGUAAUACGGAGGAUCCGAGCGUUGUCCGGAUUUAUUGGGUUUAAAGGGAGCGUAGGUGGAUUGUUAAGUCAGUUGUGAAAGUUUGCGGCUCAACCGUAAAAGUGCAGUUGAAACUGGCAGUCUUGAGUACAGUAGAGGUGGGCGGAAUUCGUGGUGUAGCGGUGAAAUGCUUAGAUAUCACGAAGAACUCCGAUUGCGAAGGCAGCUUACUAAACUGCCACUGACAUUGAUGCUCGAAAGUGUGGGUAUCAAACAGGAUUAGAUACCCCUGUAGUC